rnacentral:lncRNA from 1 species
GAGAAACCUCUGCAUAUGUAUUUCCCUUGGCUACCUCAGGGUGGUGCUCUGUUUGUACUUGUUAUUUGCAAUCAGGACUCCUGUUAUAAUAGGGUUCUGAGGCUGAGUGUUGGAACUCACAGGUAGGCUGGUGUACAGGCAGGAGGGCUUUCCAUCCCCAUCUCAGGGGGAGGUAUUAUAGUUCAAAUCUGGAAUAUCUCUGAACUAAUGAAAGGAGUUGGGUCUUGAAGGCCCCUCCCUUUCUUUUUCGCUCUCUGGGUUGCCAUGACAAAGAGCUUUGUUCCACCUCCUUCCCCAUCACCCUGUGUGUGUUGCCCCAAGUCCAAACGACCGUGUAAUGAAACCUCUAAAAUGGUAAACCCAAUCAGCCUUUCUUCCUCGGAGCUUGUUUUUCUCAGAUACUUUGUCACAGCGAUGGGGAGCUGAUUGACACAGAUGUCAAGCUCAGCAGCCUGGGUGAGGUCAUGUGCAUCGGCAUCCGCAUCCCUGUCCACGCAUGAGCAAGAAGACACCGUGAACAGCAGAGUAAAGAAAGUCACAGUGAAGCGAGGCAUGAAAGGACUUUAUGGCCUCCAAAUACCGAUGCAGAGCCUUGCACAAGUCACGUGGGACCCUGCUGAGUCUCUCUUCUCUCGAAAGGAACCAGGACUGAUUGGCAUCAAGCUGAUAUCCACCGAUUACCGUUUGGAUGCCUGGCCUCGGUGGGGAAUCAUGGCUCCUAUUUCUGUAUAACGAAAGUCUUGAGCCAGGGCAAGUCUAUACCCACCCUAAGGGCUAGUGAGACUUGCUAGUGUGGGAUGCCUGAGGGCUUGGAUCAAGAUGUGAGCUCUCAGCUGUUCCCGCUGCCAUGCCAUUGCUGUGCCUUCAUGGACUCUAACCUUCUGAAUUCCUGAGCUUCUGGCUUCUUGCUGGCAUCUUCUCCAGACAGAAACAUUGGACUUAUGCCACAAACUCCACAAGUACAUGUGACCUGAGGACAACUCCCCUCCUGGGAAGAGCACUAGACCUACACCAGUAACUCCACCUAUCCUGGAGACCCACCUAUGCCACAAAGGCCACAUGUCUUACACCUGCUUCUUCUCCAGAUAGUCUCCUAGAUGCACUGGAGGGGUACCAGGACUGCCAUACCCAGUGACUCCAACCUGCAGGAAGAAGCCAGAUUUGGCCAUUGCUCCAAUUCCUGAAGGAAGCAUGAUGAGAGCAGGCAUUAGAAGCUGACCAGGAAGAGCAGGGAUUCCAAAGCAGCAAACCCAAGGAUGUCGGAAGAGUCUGAGUCUGUUACCUCCUCUAGAUGAAGACCUCUGAAAAUCCACCGUGAGGAUGAAACUGAGAGGAGGCACCCAGACACCUGGAUGGGUAACUGAGCUGAACAGCUCAUCCGCCUCUCAUAAGUCACCCCAGUGUAACAGUUCAAACCUAUUUCCCAGAACCCUUCUUACUAUCUCUCUUUUUCUUUUAAGGUAC